CGGGCUUAUGUUUAUUACAAACCACAAAGUAUUAGAAUGUCUAUUGCGAAUAUAACGCAUCUAUAUACAACUUUCAGCAACGGAUCUCUUGGCUCUCGCAUCGAUGAAGAACGCAGCGAAAUGCGAUAAGUAAUGUGAAUUGCAGAAUUCAGUGAAUCAUCGAAUCUUU
rnacentral:rRNA from 1 species